UACGGGGGGAGCAAGCGUUGUUCGGAUUUACUGGGCGUAAAGGGCGCGUAGGCGGCCACAGCAAGUCGACUGUGAAAUCUCCGGGCUUAACCCGGAAAGGUCAGCCGAUACUGCGGGGCUAGAGUGCAGAAGGGGCAACUGGAAUUCUCGGUGUAGCGGUGAAAUGCGUAGAUAUCGAGAGGAACACCUGCGGCGAAGGCGGGUUGCUGGGCUGACACUGACGCUGAUGCGCGAAAGCGUGGGGAGCAAACAGG
rnacentral:rRNA from 1 species